GUCACUGAGAACUGCCAUGGCCUACAUCCUGAACAGCUUUCCUUACAUUGACUGGUUCGAGGGUGCCCUUUCCAGGUCCGUCUCCAUUGACGCAGAGGAAACCUUUACGUACACCAUCUCUCUGAAGCUAGAGAAUUCUGUCUACUUCAAUAGUGGUUACAUGCUCUGAAUGGAGCCAAAUCUAAGAUACUGGAUGAUGGUCAGGGAGAAACAUGGCUUGAGGAGCAGUUAAACAUCUACUUCAAUAGGUUCAUAAAAAAAAGAUACAUCUUCUUUAAGAAUGAAUCCUUCUCAUUGGAGACCAGAGAAGAGACCUGCAGUUACAUGAUUAAUAAACAUCAUUGGAAGACAUCAAAGCAAAA